rnacentral:rRNA from 1 species
GUAUGACUCUCGGCAACAAAUAUCUCAACCCUCAUCAUGAUGAAGAAUGUAGCAAAAUGUGAUACCUUAUUUGCAUUAUAGAAUCCCGUAAAUGAUCAAGUCUUUGAAUAUAAGUUACGUCCCAGGCCUAGGCUAAGGGUACAUCUACUUGGGUGUUGCAU